ensembl:lncRNA
GGUUAAUGAGAAGCUCAGAGACACACCUUUGAAUGUAAAACAGGCAAAUGAGUUCAGCUAUGACAACUACUAUAAAGCUGAUAGGCCAGUGGUCCGUGGUAACGGCAGCAGCAGCACAGUGUGUGUCUCCUCUACACACACUUUGCAUAAUUACACAACUAUUCACAUCUACUUCUUCUUUCCUCCACCGAGCUCCGGGUCAACAUCAACUGGUCGAUGACAGGAGCACCUCUUUGCUUCCAGAGAGCAACAGGGCGCAGACGUCCUAUCCAUGACAACGGGGCGUUGUGAGCAAGCCCCGCCCACUGACAGCUGCCUCAUUGUGUGCUGAGCCUCCGAAGCGCCUCCGCAGAAUCCUUUGGUUUGUAAUCAAGUAAGUCACAUCAAAGGUUAUUGCGCCACGUUUGCAAUUAUUCAGCCCAAGAUUUCAAAUGACAUUUUGAGCUGUCAUCCUAUCGUCUCCACCUUCAGUAAUGAAAUGUGAGAAAGGGCAGCCGUAGUUUGGUCUCCAUCCUUGAGUUCAUCCAUCCGUCUGUCACAUCUGAGAUCAGUGGGGAUGAUGCAUCAACAAAGCAGAGGUUGUUCUUCCUGAGGCGGCUGAAGAAAUUCAACCUGCCAAAGAGGAUGAUGGUGCACUUCUACACGGCCACCAUCAGGUCCAUCCUCUGCUCCUCCAUCACCGUCUGGUACGCUGCAG